rnacentral:rRNA from 1 species
AUUGAACGCUGGCGGCAUGCUUUACACAUGCAAGUCGAACGGCAGCGCGGGCUUCGGCCUGGCGGCGAGUGGCGAACGGGUGAGUAAUACAUCGGAACGUGCCCAGUAGUGGGGGAUAGCUCGGCGAAAGCCGGAUUAAUACCGCAUACGACCUGAGGGUGAAAGCGGGGGAUCUUCGGACCUCGCGCUAUUGGAGCGGCCGAUGGCAGAUUAGCUAGUUGGUGGGGUAAAGGCCUACCAAGGCGACGAUCUGUAGCUGGUCUGAGAGGACGACCAGCCACACUGGGACUGAGACACGGCCCAGACUCGUACGGGAGGCAGCAGUGGGGAAUUUUGGACAAUGGGCGAAAGCCUGAUCCAGCAAUGCCGCGUGUGUGAUGAAGGCCUUCGGGUUGUAAAGCACUUUUGGCGGGAACGAAAAGGACUGUGCCAAUACCACGGUUCGAUGACGGUACCCGCAGAAUAAGCACCGGCUAACUACGUG